UAUCAUCAUGGAUCUUCACUGAAGUGAUGUCAUGUGUUUUGAUUUCAUGUGUGUUAACAUGUUUAGCUGAUUUAGCUUCUUUCCUCUGGACUGGUUGUCGUCCUCUCAGGUAUUACACACCGUAUUACACUGUCAUCUUUGAAAUUCGUUAACGCCAGAGGAGGCCAGGUCAGAAAUGUUAAUACACUUAGUUUUGUAUUUAGUGUGUUGCAGACGUUUGAUAGUCCUUCAUCCAAGUCUUCGUCCUGGUCAUCAUUUUCCUGUCUGUCUUCCUGCUGAUUAGAAGAAAGAGAUCCUGGAAACAAACCUCAGGGUCCAGACAAAGAUCAAACAACAAAGCAGAGUCAAGUGUGGGUCCAGAAAAUGACAACCCUGCAGCUACAACACAGAGAAUAUCAGCAGAGCAGC